GCGAACCCGCGAGGUCAAGCAAAUCCCAUAAAAUUAUUCUCAGUUCGGAUUGUAGUCUGCAACUCGACUACAUGAAGCUGGAAUCGCUAGUAAUCGUAGAUCAGCAUGCUACGGUGAAUACGUUCCCGGGUCUUGUACACACCGCCCGUCACACCACGAGAGUCUGUAACACCCGAAGCCGGUGGAGUAACCUUUUAUUAGGAGCUAGCCGUCGAAGGUGGGACAAAUGAUUGGGGUGAAGUCGUAACAAGGUAGCCGUAUCGGAAGGUGCGGCUGGAUCACCUCCUUU
rnacentral:rRNA from 1 species